rnacentral:lncRNA from 1 species
GGUUAUAGGACUGGGCUGCAUGAGUUCAAUAUACAGAGGACAAAGCCCAGAGGGGUUUUGGUUUUGAUCUGUAGACUGCAGAGUUCUUACUUGUACUUCCUGCCAGAGCAGGAACCGGGCCCACAAAUGCCCCUAGGGAGAGAUGCAGAAAGUGGCUGGGAGAAAGAGGCUGAUACUUUGGAAAACCAACAGGGAAGCUGUAGUGGCUACAGAUGAAUGGUGACAGUGAGAACACCGGUAAUCAGCACAGCGCACCUCCUCUGCCAUCCUGUGUUGGGAACAAAAGCUUGAACUAGAACAUGGCCCAGGGCCUUGUGAGUCGUCUGUCUGGGGCUUCCAUAGGCCUCAGGGGAAGCAGAUCAUCACCGUGAAGGAUCUAUUUCUUGACUAUAGGUCUGUGUAUCCACCCCUUUCAGAUAUCAGUUGGAUGACUGUCUUUUCAGCAUGAGUUCUAGACAUAAACAUGCCCUGCUUUGAGCACAAACCCACUGCCCCCAUUCCAGUUUUUUGGGUUUUCCAAAAAUGAUGACCAUGUAAUGACUCUUCAUCUGUUCUCUUGCCUGGAUCUGAUUUGGAGAUACUUUGAGGGGUGACUGUGGCUUUGCAACUGAGCUUUUUUUCUUUUUUCUUUGGGAAGUUAACUGUCCCAACCAUUGUGGUUGCCUAGCAACAAGGGAUGGCCAAGGAUUCUAAAACUCUAAGGACCGAGGGUAGUUAAGGUCUGUCCAAAGGACACGAGUUCCCAGUGGGCCUAACUAGAGAUGGGAGAAUGUUACAGCAUUAACUCUGUAGUCCCAAAUUCUGAAAACACAGAGAGCUACAGCAUGCAGUCUGCAAAUUCAGAGUCAGAUGUACAACCCAACAAUGAAGCACUGUUUUCAGCCUCUGAAAGAACAAAAUCAAAACUUCUUGAGCAAGUUUACUGGAUGGAGGACAAACUAGAAGCUGUGGACGUUAAGGAAGCCAGUAGGGAAUUAUAUGAAAAAAUAAUUCUAAUAAAAGACCAGUGCAUUGAGAAGCUGCAAGCUGAAAUAAAAGCUUCCCAGAAACAACUUAAAGUCCAUGAACUAAAGCACAAAAAGAGACUGAAAAAGCUACAAAUUGAUUUGGCAGCAACAAAGCAAGAGGCUGCCAUCAUGGCGCUGGAACUCAAUGAAAAGAUAAAGACGCUCUGUGAAAAAGAGUCAGCCCCCAGAGGAAUCAUCGUCCCAUCAUUUGCAAAAGAAUCUUCUACAGCACGAUUGCUGAAUCCUUAGGCAUAGAUGUUACGCCCAGGAAUCAUUUACAGGUAGACCAAUAAUCAGCAGCAACUAACGACAGGGAAAAGGAAAAACCACACACCC